rnacentral:rRNA from 1 species
UACGGAGGGUGCAAGCGUUAUUCGGAAUUAUUGGGCGUCAAGGGCGUGUAGGCGGCCAGAUAAGUCAGAGGUGAAAGCCCGGGGCUCAACCCCGUAAGUGCCUUUGAAACUAUUUGGCUUGAGUGCGGGAGAGGAAAGCGGAAUUCCCAGUGUAGAGGUGAAAUUCGUAGAUAUUGGGAGGAACACCGGUGGCGAAGGCGGCUUUCUGGACCGACACUGACGCUGAGGCGCGAAAGCGUGGGGAGCAAACAGG